AUGUAACGGGAACAGCUAGCAUAGGGCUAAAUGUGCCAGGUUAUGUAACGGGAACAGCUAGCAUAGGGCUAAAUGUGCCAGGUUAUGUAAUGGGAACAGCUAGCGUAGGGCUAAAUGUGCCAGGUUAUGUAAUGGGAACAGCUAGCGUAGGGCUAAAUGUGCCAGGUUAUGUAAUGGGAACAGCUAGCGUAGGGCUAAAUGUGCCAGGUUAUGUAAUGGGAACAGCUAGCGUAGGGCUAAAUGUGCCAGGUUAUGUAAUUGGAACAGCUAGCGUAGGGCCCAAAUGUGCCAGGUUAUGUAAUGGGAACAGCUAGCAUAGGGCUAAAUGUGCCAGGUUAUGUAAUGGGAACAGCUAGCAUAGGGCUAAAUGUGCCAGGUUAUGUAAUGGGAACAGCUAGCAUAGGGCCCAAAUGUGCCAGGUUAUGUAAUGGGAACAGCUAGCAUAGGGCCCAAAUGUGCCAGGUUAUGUAAUGGGAACAGCUAGCAUAGGGCUAAACGUGCCAGGUUAUGUAAUGGGAACAGCUAGCAUAGGGCUAAAUGUGCCAGAUUAUGUAAUGGGAACAGCUAGCGUAGGGCUAAAUGUGCCAG
rnacentral:lncRNA from 1 species